rnacentral:rRNA from 1 species
GACGAACGCUGGCGGCGUGCUUAACACAUGCAAGUCGAACGAGUGGCGAACGGGUGAGUAAUACGUGGGUAACCUGCCCUCCUUUUUGGGAUAAGCCUUGGAAACGGGAUCUAAUACCGAAUAACGGGGGAUGGGCUCGCGGCCUAUCAGCUUGUUGGUGGGGUGAUGGCUACCAAGGCGUGACGGGUAGCCGGCCUGGGAGGGUGACCGGCCACAAGGGGACUGAGGUACGGAGCAGACGCGUACGGGGGGCAGCGGUGGGGGAUAUGGCGCAAUGAGCGGAAGCCUGAUGAAGCGGCGCCGCGUGGGGGAUGAAGGCCUUCGGGUUGUAAACUCCUUUCGACAGGGACGCGGUACCUGUAGAAGAAGCACCGGCUAACUACGUGCCAGCAGCCGCGGUAAUAC